CUCAGGACGAACGCUGGCGGCUGCUUACACAUGCAAGUCGAACGGUGAGAGGACUUGCUCCUCUGAUCAGUGGCGAACGGGUGAGUAACACGUGAGCAACCUGCCCCAGACUCUGGGAUAACAGUUGGAAACAGCUGCUAAUACCGGAUACGAGACGGAGAGGCAUCUCUACCGUCUGGAAAGUUUUUCGGUCUGGGAUGGACUCGCGGCCUAUCAGCUAGUUGGUGAGGUAAUGGCUCACCAAGGCGACGACGGGUAGCCGGCCUGAGAGGGCGACCGGCCACACUGGGACUGAGACACGGCCCAGACUCCUACGGGAGGCAGCAGUGGGGAAUAUUGCACAAUGGGCGAAAGCCUGAUGCAGCGACGCCGCGUGAGGGAUGAAGGCCUUCGGGUUGUAAACCUCUUUCAGCAGGGAAGAAGCGAAAGUGACGGUACCUGCAGAAGAAGCACCGGCUAACUACGUGCCAGCAGCCGCGGUAAUACGUAGGGUGGAGCGUUGUCCGGAAUUAUUGGGCGUAAAGAGCUUGUAGGGUUUGUCGCGUCUGCAGUGAAAAUCCGGGGCUCAACCCCGGACUUGCUGUGGGUACGGGCAGACUAGAGUAUGGUAGGGGAGACCGGAAUUCCUGGUGUAGCGGUGGAAUGCGCAGAUAUCAGGAGGAACACCGAUGGCGAAGGCAGGUCUCUGGGCCAACACGCAGAGAAGCGAAAGCAUGGGGAGCGAACAGGAUUAGAUACCCUGGUAGUCCAUGCCGUAAACGUUGGGCGCUAGGUGUGGGACUCAUUCCACGAGUCCCGUGCCGCAGCUAACGCAUUAAGCGCCCCGCCUGGGGAGUACGGCCGCAAGGCUAAAACUCAAAGGAAUUGACGGGGGCCCGCACAAGCGGCGGAGCAUGCGGAUUAAUUCGAUGCAACGCGAAGAACCUUACCAGGGCUUGACAUAUACCGGAAACAUCCAGAG
rnacentral:rRNA from 1 species